rnacentral:rRNA from 1 species
GCGAAUCGCCCUUCGGGGUGCACCAGGCGCGAAAACUUUACAAUGCGGGAAACCGUGAUAAGGGGACACCGAGUGCCAGCAUCAUAUGCUGGCUGUCCAGGUGUGUAAACUACACCUGUUAGCAAGGGCCGGGCAAGACCGGUGCCAGCCGCCGCGGUAACACCGGCGGCCCGAGUGGUGAUCGUGAUUAUUGGGUCUAAAGGGUCCGUAGCCGGUUUGGUCAGUCCUCCGGGAAAUCUGACGGCUCAACCGUUAGGCUUUCGGGGGAUACUGCCAGGCUUGGAACCGGGAGAGGUAAGAGGUACUACAGGGGUAGGAGUGAAAUCUUGUAAUCCCUGUGGGACCACCUGUGGCGAAGGCGUCUUACCAGAACGGGUUCGACGGUGAGGGACGAAAGCUGGGGGCACGAACCGGAUUAGAUACCCGGGUAGUCCCAGCCGUAAACGAUGCUCGCUAGGUGUCAGGCAUGGCGCGACCGUGUCUGGUGCCGCAGGGAAGCCGUGAAGCGAGCCACCUGGGAAGUACGGCCGCAAGGCUGAAACUUAAAGGAAUUGGCGGGGGAGCAC